rnacentral:lncRNA from 1 species
AACCUCUAACCUCACCAGAAAUUCAAAAAUUUUACGUUUUCUUACUCGCCUUUAAACCCUAAACACGAAUCUGACACUGAUUUUCACAAACAAGGCUUGAAACAACGUAGAUCUAGAAUUUUCAUACGGCUUUGAAAAUUAUUUAGGUUUUUUCAAUUUUUGAAUGAAACCGUUUCAAACUCUUACAGAUCUACAUUGUUUCGUCUUUGUUGCUGUUCUUGAGAAAGAAAGAUGAAGUUUGAGUUUUACCUGAGUUUUUAAUCGGAGAUUUCACGAGAUUCUUCGGAAAAACUUGAUUCUUGACUCUGUCUUUGUUGAUUUUGCUUGGGAACCGAAAAUAAAUCGGUGUCUUCACCGGUUUGAAACUCUUUUCCUUUUCUUCUUUGUGAUCGGUGCUGGAGUUUCUCACCUCCGGUGAGGAAUUCGCGCCUUGAAUUGCAGAAACUUCAAUUCAAUGAUGAAGAUUCAUCCAUGAAUCUCUGAGAAUUG